UACGAAGGGGGCUAGCGUUGUUCGGAAUUACUGGGCGUAAGGCGCACGUAGGCGGAUAUUUAAGUCAGGGGUGAAAUCCCAGAGCUCAACUCUGGAACUGCCUUUGAUACUGGGUAUCUCGAGUAUGGAAGAGGUGAGUGGAAUUCCGAGUGUAGAGGUGAAAUUCGUAGAUAUUCGGAAGAACACCAGUGGCGAAGGCGGCUCACUGGUCCGGUACUGACGCUGAGGUGCGAAAGCGUGGGGAGCAAACAGG
rnacentral:rRNA from 1 species